GUUCCUCUUGUCUGUCCUAAUUCUGCGGUCCACUCUGCUUCCGGCUUGGCAAUCUGCCUCUCUUCAGAGUCUAAAAGAAGAAAAUGUCAAGUCCCAAAUUUGUAUGGGAGUCACUGAAAUAAGUAAAGAAGGGAUGGCAGAGAAGAAGACUAAAGCCUGAAUUAUGGUCCAGCAGCACAAAGACAGCAAAGGUGACUGCGGCUGGCUUCACC